UGGAACUCAAUUUCAUUAAGAUUAAUUUAUUAAGCAAAAAAUUCGUUAAAAUAAUUAUAUUCUCUAUCUUAUUACAAAACAUACUAAAUGAUAAGUAACUAUGUUCGUGGUAGAAAUAAUCGGAAAAUUGGUGGUAUUUUUAUGAUCAUUUGCGUAUAAACAAACCAUCAGCUAUAUAUGCGAUAUUCUUAUAUAGUACUGGCACGAAUGUCAUUAUUACCCUAAUUAUUGAAUUAGGUUUCUUUGCUAGUAAUAAUAUGAAUGCAGCUUAGUUUUGCCACUUUAUCAAAUUUCAUUAAUUUUGUCAUCUUUGUGCGUGUCGUAUUUUUAUUUUUUUUUUGUAACUUUGCGUGUUGUAUUUUCUCUUUCAUUGAUGGCCACGAAAGAAGCAAAAGUAUUAAUAUUCAAUUAUUU
rnacentral:lncRNA from 1 species